CGAGGGACUACAGUGUUACAGUUCAGUCUAACAGGAUACUAUUGGGUUUCAUCAAACGUGGUGUUCAUUCGUAGCUGUCAGCAAGUACAGUAAUUGUAGUAGUUUGGAUUAAUAGAAUCUAUCACUGUUUUGAGGUAUAGGUCCUCGCACAAACAAUCACGUAGAAGGUUUCCACGCUCACCUGCAAAAGAAAGCCGGGAAAUCGCAUCCAAAUAUACACGAAGUUGUUGAAUUGUUUGCUCAUGAAGAAGCUUCAACUGCUGUAUUCAUGCUCCAACUCGAAUCUGGACAGAAAGCACCCAAAAGAAGACGAAAGUAUAUUGACAUUGACACUCGUAUUGACAAACUCGGGUUUGCCUACAUUACAACAGAACGGACCCUAGACUCCUACCUCAGUGCCAUUGGUCAUCUGAUGGAUAGGAAGUGUUGAACAAUCAGUUGCUAAAUGUGUCAGUGCUAUGACGUAUGUUGCAUUGUUUGUAUGGUUUUGAAAUGUCAUGUUUUAAAUGUAUUAAUUUAAGUGCUAUUACAGUGCUAUUACCAUAAACACUAUCGAAUAAAACAUUUAUUUAACUAUA